rnacentral:rRNA from 1 species
UACGUAGGGUGCAAGCGUUGUCCGGAAUUAUUGGGCGUAAAGAGCUCGUAGGCGGUUUGUCGCGUCGACUGUGAAAACCCGAGGCUUAACCUCGGGCCUGCAGUCGAUACGGGCAGACUAGAGUUCGGUAGGGGAGACUGGAAUUCCUGGUGUAGCGGUGAAAUGCGCAGAUAUCAGGAAGAACACCCGUGGCGAAGGCGGCUCUCUGGGACGGUACUGACGCUGAGACGCGAAAGCGUGGGGGGCGAACAGG